rnacentral:tmRNA from 1 species
GGGGCUGCCUAGCUUUGACAGAGUGACCUUGAUAAAUCGAUUUGCAAACCGGAUUGGGAUGAACGUUAUCCGUCCCACUCUUAUAAGUGCAAACACACUUGUUAGCAAGAUCCGCGCUGCUUUUUCAGCACCGGUUCUUGCGCCAGCUUUCGCUUAAUUCGCGAUUGCCGCUACUAGGUUCGAUUAUCAGCUAGAAUCUGACGGCGUCAUACACUGCUGAUUGCGCUCUGGUGUGCUCUUAAGUUCGCCCUUAGCUAAGACUUUAAACUUAAGGAAAGGUGUUAUAUUUGGUCCGCUUUUAAUAUGAUGCUUUUCUAAAAAACUGUAAGCGGACUAUGUUUGUAGAUGGUCGAUUUAAUCACAUUCUGGACGAGGGUGCGAAUCCCUCCAGCUCCACCA